GCUGGGUGUGGUGACACGCGCCUGUAGCCCCAGCUACUUGGAAGGCUGAGGUGGGAGAAUUGCUUGAACCUGGGAGGGAGAGAUUGCAGUGAGCCAAGAUUGUGCCACUGCACUCCAGCCUGNNNNNNNNNNCAGGCUGGAGUGCAGUGGCACAAUCUCGGCUCACUGCAACCUCUGCCUCCUGGGCUCAAGCAAUUCUCCUGCCUCAG
rnacentral:SRP_RNA from 1 species